UACGGAGGGUGCAAGCGUUAUCCGGAUUCACUGGGUUUAAAGGGUGCGUAGGCGGGCAGAUAAGUCAGUGGUGAAAUCUUUCGGCUUAACCGAAAAAUUGCCGUUGAUACUAUUUGUCUUGAAUAUUGUGGAGGUAAGCGGAAUAUGUCAUGUAGCGGUGAAAUGCUUAGAUAUGACAUAGAACACCAAUUGCGAAGGCAGCUUACUAUACAAUUAUUGACGCUGAGGCACGAAAGCGUGGGUAGCGAACAGGAUUAGAUACCCUGGUAGUCCACGCCCUAAACGAUGAUUACUCGACAUACGCGAUACACUGUGUGUGUCCAAGCGAAAGCAUUAAGUAAUCCACCUGGGAAGUACGACCGCAAGGUUGAAACUCAAAG
rnacentral:rRNA from 1 species